UACGUAGGUGGCAAGCGUUGUCCGGAUUUACUGGGCGUAAAGAGCGCGCAGGCGGUCGGACAAGUCGCGUGUGAAAGCCCCCCGGCUCAACUGGGGAGGGUCACGCGAUACUGUUCGACUCGAAGGCAGGAGAGGGAAGUGGAAUUCCCGGUGUAGUGGUGAAAUGCGUAGAUAUCGGGAGGAACACCAGUGGCGAAGGCGACUUCCUGGCCUGUUCUUGACGCUGAGGCGCGAAAGCUAGGGUAGCAAACGGGG
rnacentral:rRNA from 1 species